CACGGUCAUGAUUUGGUAACGGCAGCACUGGUACGGAGCAGAAAACCCCGUCCCUCUCACAGGAGCAAUGGGUUGUAGGAGGAGAAAUGUGAAAUGAUGGCAAGUAUUCUCUGCUUCUGCCCUUUGAUACGGCUCCUGGUUGCUUGGAAACUGCUGAAACCCCUGUGCCCUGCAGCAUCACCCACCGAGAGCUGGGAAAGCACCACCGUUCUGCCCGCCUUCCUCUCCCCUCCCAUUGGGAUGGCACUCUGGCACCCAGCGGCAGCACAGGGCCAUAACACUGGCUGAGGCAAGACAGCCAAAUGAUGAGGUUAAGACUAAAAAGCAACUUCCCUUCCAACUCUGCUUUAAAGCCACCGGCCAGGAGGAGUGGAGUCCUUUGGUGCCUCUCACAGCACUGUGCACACCAGGCUGCCCACUUGCAAACGUGAUUCACCAAGGAACUGAUUUACACAUCUCUUCCAGGAGGCUGCAUACCCAGUUGGAAAUGACUGCUGAUGCCAGAGCUAUGCACAUUGUGAUGAGGAUGUGCCCCAGCACUGUUUCCCAACGCUUAACUCUCUCUCCUGGAGGGGACCCUGCACCUCAACACAAGCAGAUUCUGCUCAG